UCCUGCCCUCACGGGUAGAUCUCCCACCCUUGUGUAUUUUUAUGAUGUUUUGUUGCUUUGGCAGGCCGCUGGGCUUCUAAAACGGCCUGGCCACCGGCUCCCUGGGCUGGUGCGCGCCUGCCAGAGGAUCUCUCAAACUCGGUUUGUUAGUGUCGUCUGAGUACUAUAACAAUCGUUAAAACUUUCAACAACGGAUCUCUUGGUUCUGGCAUCGAUGAAGAACGCAGCGAAAUGCGAUAAGUAAUGUGAAUUGCAGAAUUCAGUGAAUCAUCGAAUCUUUGAACGCACAUUGCGCCCCUUGGUAUUCCGAGGGGCAUGCCUGUUCGAGCGUCAUUUCAACCCCUCAAGCUCUGCUUGGUGUUGGGCAUUCGCCGCUUUCCCGCGGCGGGCCUUAAAAUCAGUGGCGGUGGCCGUCUCAGGCUCUAAGCGUAGUAGCAACCUCUCGCUCUGGAGACCCGGCGGUGACUUGCCAGACAACCUUUUUACUUUUUUUCAAAGGUUUGACCUCGGAUCAGGUAGGGAUACCCGCUGAACUUAAGCAUAUCAAUAAGCGGAGGAAAAGAAACCAACAGGGAUUGCCUCAGUAACGGCGAGUGAAGCGGCAACAGCUCAAAUUUGAAAUCUGGCUCCUUCGGAGUCCGAGUUGUAAUUUGUAGAAGAUGCUUCGAGUGUGGCCCCGGUCUAAGUUCCUUGGAACAGGACGUCACAGAGGGUGAGAAUCCCGUACGUGAUCGGGCGCCUACGCUCAUGUGAAGCUCUUUCGACGAGUCGAGUUGUUUGGGAAUGC
rnacentral:misc_RNA from 1 species